UACGUAGGGUGCGAGCGUUGUCCGGAAUUAUUGGGCGUAAAGAGCUCGUAGGCGGUGUGUCACGUCGGCCGUGAAAAACCUGCAGCUUAACUGUGGGCGUGCGGUCGAUACGGGCAUCACUGGAGUUCGGCAGGGGAGACUGGAAUUCCUGGUGUAGCGGUGAAAUGCGCAGAUAUCAGGAGGAACACCGGUGGCGAAGGCGGGUCUCUGGGCCGAUACUGACGCUGGAGGAGCGAAAAGCCGUGGGGGAGCAAACAGG
rnacentral:rRNA from 1 species